rnacentral:ncRNA from 1 species
UUGGGAUGCGGCGAUGGGACCCGCCUGAAACUUGUUUUCGAACCGCAUCACGCUGAUAGUUCCUGCACACGA